rnacentral:misc_RNA from 1 species
GAAAUGCGAUAACUAAUGUGAAUUGCAGAAUUCAGUGAAUCAUCGAGUCUUUGAACGCACAUUGCGCCCCCUGGUAUUCCGGGGGGCAUGCCUGUCCGAGCGUCAUUACUGCCCUCAAGCCCGGCUUGUAUUGGGUCCUCGUCCCCCUCCCCGGGGGACGGGCCCGAAAGGCAGCGGCGGCACCGCGUCCGGUCCUCGAGCGUAUGGGGCUUUGUCACCCGCUCUGUAGGCCCGGCCGGCGCCAGCCCACGCAACACCUUUUUUUUCAGGUUGACCUCGGAUCAGGUAGGGAUACCCGCUGAACUUAA